ACUUCAGCUUGUGUUGACAACGUUACUAGUUGUUCAUGGAAAUGCCGUGUGUAGUUUUCCAUGUGAACAGCAGGAAAAAGCACAGUACAUCUUUAUCACUGGUGGUUCUGCUGAGUUGACAUCGCUUGAAUACUUCCGCAAUCAAUCUCACUUAGUACAGCUUUCGCCUUCGGGAGAAUUUGCUGAAUGUCAUUUCAGAACCGGACCAUUUCUUGUCGCCCGACGACGUGGCAAUGAAUAUAUCUGUGUCAAACGACUGGCUUUGGACCCAACUGGUGGAAUAAUAGUAUGGUAUGGAUUACCCUGGAGGACUUUCAGAUCGAGUCCAUCACUGUGUGAACUUUGCUAUGGACCAAGCCAAUGGAGCUCUUCUCUUCUAUUAGCAAGAGAUUUGCAACGUAGGGAAAACCAGAUAAGAAGAUCAUGUAA